AUGUUGCUCAGCUACUCCUUUACUCACGAGGUCCAAAACCUUGUACAGAUGACCACCAAUACCCGAGAGGGAAAAAGAAUUUGGAGCCCCCAUGAUCAAGACCUGGUUUUUUUCUCUUACAAUAAAUUCCAUGUCUUCUGGCCAACUGAUGUGCAUGUGAUGAGGAGCAUUCGUACACCCGCAAGCCAGGGAAGCGACUUCCUUCCAUGGUUCUUGGGAAGAUCUGGUCAGUUCACAGUCAAAAAUGCAUAUCUGCUGGCCAUGCAAGCACAAACAUAUGGCAUUGAGGAGAUUAUUGAAGGGAAGAUGCCGGUGGUGGAUUUCCAUGCUACCAAUGUUACAAAGAAACGAUUACCUUGGCCUAAACCACCAGCCGGAUGGGUUGCUCUAUCAAUUGGUUCUUACGUCAAGGAAACUGGGUUGGCAGGUACGGGCAUGGUACUGAGAGACGCAGUGGGGAUUGUAACUUUCUUGGCCUAUAGACACCUCUUCCAUUGCAAAGAUGCUCCAAAAUCCAAAAUCAGCUCAGUGUUGGAAGUGGCCCAUAUCAAAGCAGACUUCGGGUCAAUUCUUUUCUUCGACUCUCACAAAAUCGAGCUGCUCCCCAGCUUCUCCCAAAAUCUCCAAUGGGGAGGGGCCCGAUUCUACCAGAAUCGGCCAAAAGAACUAGCCCUUCAUCACAAGGAAGCUGGCGUAGUUGUGGGAUGUCAAGGCAUAUAUACUUAG
rnacentral:rRNA from 1 species